UCACUCCAUUCACUCCAUUACUUCACAAAACUCUCCCAGCACGCACCACGCACUCCCAGCACGCAGUGGCACCCUCCUCCCCUCCUCGUCUUCUCAGCCCUCCGUGUCUCACACCAGUCACCGGCGAAGCUCGUCGUUCGAAUGACGACGGUGACGACCGACGAUUGACGUUCGACGAAUGACGACCUACGGUGCUGCCCUGCUUCUCGGUGACCACUGACGCUUCUCUGCUUGGCCCGGUCGUCUUCUUCUUCUCUAUUACUUCCUCGCCACUGCUGUGCGCUGCUAGUCCCGCUCCUUCUGCUCCGCUCUCUUCUCCGGUCUUCUUCUCAGCUAGGGAAGACAAGGACAAGGUACAAAAAUGGAGAUCUGCUCUAGCUAAAGCUGCUGAAAUUUCAGGAUUUACUUAUCCAUUGGACUCUGAGUUGAUUGAUUAGCUAGGGAAGACAAGGACAAGGUACAAAAAUGGAGAUCUACUCUAGCUAAAGCUGCUGAAAUUUCAGGAUUUACUUAUCUAUUGGACUCUGAGUUGUGAGUUGUUGGAGUUCGUUAUUGACACUGUCCACACUUCACAGUGCAUAUGAAUUGGAUAAGUCUUAAUGGUUAUAAGUUAUGAUCCUUCCUUAUUUGUUCAAAGAGCCAGAACAGUGAAUCUGCGACACUGUGUUUCAGCUUGGCAUCCACGUAAGUAUUCAGAUCUGAAUCACUAUGCAAUUUUAUGAUUUUAUCAACUCAAUCUCUAAAAUAAGUUUGGACGUUAUGCCAUCUCCUCCUCCUCCUCCUUCUUUGAUUUUAAAAUUUGGUUAAAGAAUUACUUAGCGAAUUCUGUGUUAUUUUUUAGUCUGCUGCAUAAAACAGACACGUUCU